CUGCUUCUACUUUAGAGGCUGGGAAAGCUGAAAUAACCUCUCUCCCUCUCUUGCCUGCAGCCAGCAAGAACCAGACAGCCCGAGCUCAAAUCUUAUUUUGCCCCUUCCCAGCUGUGUGAUCCUGAGUGAGUCACUGACCCUUUCACCCUCUGUUUGCUCAUCUAUAAGAUGCACCUGCUUCAUGGAGUUGUUCUGAGGAUUAAGUGGGUGAAGCCCUAAGGAUACUUCCUGGCAAAUAGCAAGUGAUCGAGACUGGAUGGAGAACAAACAAGACCAGAAGCCAUGAACCCAGCCAACAGGUAUAGAGGUGGGGCUGGGAGGAAGAUAUCAUGAAAUGGCUUGAAUGAGGAAGUAGACUUGAAAGAACCUGGGUGAAUUUCUGGACAUGGGGUUGGGAUGAUUAUGAUUCAUUCAGUGGGUCUGAGCUGGUGCCCAGGAAGUUAAAUGUCUUUUAAGAAACACAAGCCAAGAGUUUUGGAAGAACAUCAUGUUUCCCCUAUCUUCACUUCAUGAUUAAGGAACCGGAGGACCUAAAGCUGGUGAGUGAUGUUCCCUUGGUCACUUAGCUUGAAAAUAUGGCUUUUCUCUUGGCUGGUUGGCACCUCAAGACUUCUUUCUGCUUCGCUGUUCUGCCUUUCCUUCCCCUCCAGCAAACCUCAAGGAAUGAAACUUCCCAUAGCCUCUGUUCCGGGAGAUGAAGAGGUUAACAAUGUUUGUUGAGGAUUUUUCCUCAUGUUAGGUUCUGGCUAGAUGCUCCAUAUUAUCUCAUUUUUUACGGUAUUAUUGGAGUUCCCUGGUGGCCUGGUGGUUAAGGAUUUGUUGUCACUGCAGUGUCUCAGGUUUCAUGCCUGGCCUGAGAACUUUCACAUGCCGUGGGUGCUGCCAAAAAUAAUAUAUAUUGCAUUAUCAUCCCUGUUCUGACAAGAAAAACCAAGAUUAAGUGACACGUCUAAAAUCACAUGGUUAGUCAUUGGUGGGGUCCAAAUUCACAUCCAUCUGGUUCUAAAAGACACACAACAGCUUUAUACCUUGUCUGGUGUCUCCUCUGAGCAAUAGCCAUAGUGGGGUGGGAAGAAUAGGGCUACCCUCUUUUUACCACUUUAAAACUGCAAGAUGGCGUGUGGCUGAACCCAGUUCAGCCAAAGCCCUAUCUUAAGCCUGUGAGGGGCUGUGAUCACUCACUGUUGAUGGGUACAUCAAUUAACACAUCUGCUGAGAUUUAAUACUUUAGUCAGUCCUUGGCAAGCAUUGUAGAUCUGACCUUCCAGCCACUUAGAGAAAGUGUGGGGGCCUUUUCCAGGCUCAGAUACAAAUGAGAUCCAGCUGUCUAUGACUUCAACCCAGGCCAGAUGUUUUAAAUGUUGUUUCCUGCCCAGUGUAUCUUUUCGUUAACCAUUUUUUUUUUUUAAACUGCAGGCUGCAACCCGUUUGUGAUCCUAAAAUCAAUUUAGUGGAUCACAACAGUCUUCUAAAAUAUUGGAAUAGAAUAUACUGCUCUAGCAGAGGGUAAGAACAGAAAACAUCAGAAUGUAUCCCACUGAGUAAAGAGUGUAAUUUUGUAAAACA